rnacentral:rRNA from 1 species
UACGAAGGGGGCUAGCGUUGUUCGGAUUUACUGGGCGUAAAGCGCACGUAGGCGGAUCGUUAAGUCGGGGGUGAAAUCCUGGAGCUCAACUCCAGAACUGCCUUCGAUACUGGCGAUCUUGAGUCCGGGAGAGGUGAGUGGAACUGCGAGUGUAGAGGUGAAAUUCGUAGAUAUUCGCAAGAACACCAGUGGCGAAGGCGGCUCACUGGCCCGGUACUGACGCUGAGGUGACGAAAGGCGUGGGGAGCAAACAGG